rnacentral:rRNA from 1 species
AACGAACGCUGGCGGCAUGCCUAACACAUGCAAGUCGAACGAGACCUUCGGGUCUAGUGGCGCACGGGUGCGUAACGCAUGGGAACCUGCCCUUAGGUUCGGAAUAACUCCCCGAAAGGGGUGCUAAUACCGGAUAAUGCCUUCUGACCAAAGAUUUAUCGCCUUUGGAUGGGCCCGCGUUGGAUUAGCUAGUUGGUAGGGUAAAAGCCUACCAAGGCUACGAUCCAUAGCUGGUCUGAGAGGAUGAUCAGCCACACUGGGACUGAGACACGGCCCAGACUCCUACGGGAGGCAGCAGUGGGGAAUAUUGGACAAUGGGCGAAAGCCUGAUCCAGCAAUGCCGCGUGAGUGAUGAAGGCCUUAGGGUUGUAAAGCUCUUUUACCCGGGAUGAUAAUGACAGUACCGGGAGAAUAAGCUCCGGCUAACUCCGUG